UACGUAGGGCGCAAGCGUUGUCCGGAAUUAUUGGGCGUAAAGAGCUCGUAGGCGGUCUGUCGCGUCCGUUGUGAAAACUCGAAGCUCAACCUCGGGCUUGCAGUGGAUACGGGCAGACUAGAGUGCGGUAGGGGAGACUGGAAUUCCUGGUGUAGCGGUGGAAUGCGCAGAUAUCAGGAGGAACACCGAUGGCGAAGGCAGGUCUCUGGGCCGCAACUGACGCUGAGGAGCGAAAGCAUGGGGAGCGAACAGG
rnacentral:rRNA from 1 species